GACGAACGCUGGCGGCGUGCUUAACACAUGCAAGUCGAACGGACAGGCCCUGCUUUUGUGGGGUGCUCGAGUGGCGAACGGGUGAGUAACACGUGAGUAACCUGCCCUUGACUUUGGGAUAACUUCAGGAAACUGGGGCUAAUACCGGAUAGGAGCUCCUGCUGCAUGGUGGGGGUUGGAAAGUUUCGGCGGUUGGGGAUGGACUCGCGGCUUAUCAGCUGGUUGGUGGGGUAGUGGCUUACCAAGGCUUUGACGGGUAGCCGGCCUGAGAGGGUGACCGGGCACAUGGGGACUGAGAUACGGCCCAGACGCCUACGGGAGGCAGCAGUGGGGAAUAUUGCACAAUGGGCGGAAGCCUGAUGCAGCAACGCCGCGUGCGGGAUGACGGCCUUCGGGUUGUAAACCGCUUUCGCCUGUGACGAAGCGUGAGUGACGGUAAUGGGUAAAGAAGCACCGGCUAACUACGUG
rnacentral:rRNA from 1 species